CAUUUUGGGUGAAGUGCAGCUGCUUUUGCAUUGUUUGUGAGUCAGUUGUGUUGUGUUGUGUGUGUGUAAAGUGUGAAAGUUGGUUUUUGAACUUUUUGUGUGCUUUUACAUUGUGUGUUCUCAGCUAACAAAGCUCCUUUUUUUCCCCUUUUUCAGUAGCUGCCACCUUUAACAGGAAGGAUGAAAAGGCAACAGACUUUGAUGGGUUUCUUGGCCAUGAAACCAAAACUUGCACAACAACCAUUAGAAAUGGAUCCAAAACCAUCCCAAGCACCACAACCACCACCACUUCCACCACUUGAAACUGGAGAAAACAGCAAGUCAAGUAUUGAGUCACCCGCCACGCCUGAAAUUGGAAGCAUUCUUCCAGACUGCUGGACCUUGCAACAGUACAGCAACUGCCAAGAGAAGUAGGAGGGGUUGGAAGUUUCAAACAAGAAACUAGGUUGCAAGUAUUGUGCAAAACAUGACUUUGCAAUAGAGAGCGGUAUUCAUGUGUCCAAAAAGUAGAAGCUUUUCAAGAUUGAGGCAGCUGGGAAAAACAAGGAAAUGCAGCAGGCGUGUCUCUAAGGAAGAAAAUGAGAGAACAUUUCAUAGUGAAAUUGCACACCAUUUGUAGGGACAACAUGAAACAAGCUGAGCAGGAAGCCAUGACAAAAGCAACGGACAAGAUUUCUGAAAGCAAUUUGCCACCACUUCUAAAAUGUUCAAAACUGUUUACCAAUUUCAAGCAUAGAGGAUUUGAUAGAAUUACAAACUGAAAAUGGAGUAGAUCAGAACAACUGUGCAAAUUUGGGGACAUUUUCAAUUACAACAUUAACAUCAACGACUAUAGAGAUUUUGUGGAGAAUGUGUUAAAAGAUUCAAAGAGGUAUGCAAUUCCUGACAGUAUUAAAAAAGCAUAUUGUCAGAACAAUUGCAGUACGUUCUGCAGAAGCGGAAAGGGUUUUUUGAAAAAGAACUUCAUAUGUUCAGAGAGCAGAAGUCGCCUAACCGUUUCCAAUUUAACCAUCCUCAUGAUCAUCAGUGUUACUGGCCUAUCUCUUCCAAAAUGGGACCCUAUUCCUGCAGUGAAAAAGUGGUUCAGAGAUCACCAUCACUCAGCCAAUGAUCCAUGCAUAAAGUGGAAGUGAUGAGAGUGCCAAUGAAAUAGCUAUGUGGAAACAACUUAUAGCUAAAGACAACUAACAGUUUUAUGUCAAAAAAGGGCAAAGAAGUGAUGUCGACUUGGCCACACCCACCCGGUCACCUGACCACCAAGCCACACCCACCAAAUAAGCCACAACCACAGAACCGGGCUGACAAUCUCCCUCAAAUGGUGCUGUCGUCAUAUUUUACGUUUCACCUUCUGGAGCAUCAAGGACAACCAAGAAGCUUCUCAGAUUUGUGAAUAGUGAGAGGUUGCGUGGAAGCAAUCAAUUUCAUUCAGAACUCCGUCAACUGCUCAUGCCCAGGCACAGACUAAGGCCACCAGAUUCAUAAGCAAACCUUCUUGAAAUCCCACACAGGGACCUCGAGACAUCCAGGCUGAGGUGAACUAAUUUAAUAGGUGAUGCCUCCCUGAGGAGAGGGCAAUGCCAGCAAGCUGCAAACCAAUCAGUGUAACAUGAUGGUGAUAAAAAAAACAUCUAGUGAGCUAUCUCAAAUAUGGGUCAGGUCCAUGGACACCAUCUUAGUCAAGAAUUCCUGGGCUGCCCAGACUCUAUGCAACUCAAAGGAAAGUUAAAAUCUCUGAGGAUUAUCACUCUCUGGAAUUCCACUGCUGACAAAGUGACAGAUAAGCAAGUCAAAGAGAGUUUUUGUUGUGUAGGAAGGAGGUGGUACAGCAAUAACAAGCCUAACUGCCCCCUACCUGCCACAUUGUUGUCUCAUCACUGCUGUAAGUCCUGAUAGUCAUGCCAUGGGCCAUAGUCUUCUAUUGUACAGCUAUCAAGGCUCU